GAUGAACGCUGGCGGCGUGCCUAAUACAUGCCAGUCGAGCGAACAGACGAGGAGCUUGCUCCUCUGACGUUAGCGGCGGACGGGUGAGUAACACGUGGAUAACCUACCUAUAAGACUGGGAUAACUUCGGGAAACCGGAGCUAAUACCGGAUAAUAUAUUGAACCGCAUGGUUCAAUAGUGAAAGACGGUUUUGCUGUCACUUAUAGAUGGAUCCGCGCCGCAUUAGCUAGUUGGUAAGGUAACGGCUUACCAAGGCAACGAUGCGUAGCCGACCUGAGAGGGUGAUCGGCCACACUGGAACUGAGACACGGUCCAGACUCCUACGGGAGGCAGCAGUAGGGAAUCUUCCGCAAUGGGCGAAAGCCUGACGGAGCAACGCCGCGUGAGUGAUGAAGGUCUUCGGAUCGUAAAACUCUGUUAUUAGGGAAGAACAAAUGUGUAAGUAACUAUGCACGUCAUGACGGUACCUAAUCAGAAAGCCACGGCUAACUACGUG
rnacentral:rRNA from 1 species